rnacentral:rRNA from 1 species
AUUGAACGCUGGCGGCAUGCUUUACACAUGCAAGUCGAACGGUAGAGGGGCAACCCUUGAGAGUGGCGAACGGGUGAGUAAUGCAUCGGAACGUGCCCAGUAGUGGGGGAUAGCCCGGCGAAAGCCGGAUUAAUACCGCAUGAGACCUGAGGGUGAAAGCGGGGGAUCGCAAGACCUCGCGCUAUUGGAGCGGCCGAUGUCAGAUUAGCUAGUUGGUGGGGUAAAGGCCUACCAAGGCGACGAUCUGUAGCUGGUCUGAGAGGACGACCAGCCACACUGGGACUGAGACACGGCCCAGACCCCUACGGGAGGCAGCAGUGGGGAAUUUUGGACAAUGGGCGCAAGCCUGAUCCAGCCAUGCCGCGUGCGGGAAGAAGGCCUUCGGGUUGUAAACCGCUUUUGUCAGGGAAGAAAUCUUCUGGGCUAAUACCCUGGGAGGAUGACGGUACCUGAAGAAUAAGCACCGGCUAACUACGUGCCAGCCGCCGCAGUAA